rnacentral:rRNA from 1 species
GAGGAAUAUUGGUCAAUGGGCGUAAGCCUGAACCAGCCAAGUCGCGUGAGGGAGGACGGCCCUACGGGUUGUAAACCUCUUUUGCCGGGGGACAAACGGCGGCACGCGUGCCGUCCUGAGGGUACCCGGAGAAAAAGCAUCGGCUAACCCCGUGCCAGCAGCCGCGGUAAUACGGAGGAUGCGAGCGUUAUCCGGAUUUAUUGGGUUUAAAGGGUGCGUAGGCGGGAUGCCAAGUCAGCGGUCAAAUACGGGGGCUCAACCUGCGUCCGCCGUUGAAACUGGCGUUCUUGAGUGGGCGAGAAGUACGCGGAAUGCGUGGUGUAGCGGUGAAAUGCAUAGAUAUCACGCAGAACCCCGAUUGCGAAGGCAGCGUACCGGCGCCCUACUGACGCUGAAGCACGAAAGCGUGGGUAUCGAACAG